UUCCUUCUGCUUUCUUUCUUCUCUCUCCUCGAUGCUCUUCCUCUCUAAAACCCAAAACGCCAACGGUCUUCUCCGCUGCGAUGCGCCACCGUUCGACUGACCCAGACGGUUAGACCACCACUUAAAUACUACUAUUCUCGUCCUCUUCAAAACCCAUGUUUUGAAUGUGGGAUUUAGUCAUUUCUUCUUUGGAUUGAAAAUUGGAGCAGAUCGAGCAAUUGGCGAUUUGCAGCACUGCCGCCGAGCUCCGGCGACACUGUUUCCUUGUCUUUUGGUAAGCUCGACUCCUUACUUUCAUUUCCAUUUCAAUUUUUUCACCAAUUUCCCAAAUCAGAACCAAACUUGAACUUCCGUCUUUCUGCCAUUAUCUCCAUCGUAUCACCACCAUUGACCUCGUCUUUCCGACGAGUUUUCCUUAAUCCCAAAUGAGCUUGGGACGAACAUGGAGCUUCGUGCAGGAAGCAGAGAGCUCCGAGGAGCCUUGGAGGACAAGUAGUGGCCCAGAUUGGGAGUGGAGGGAUGCAGCACCGACGGGUUUCAUUGCGGAGCCUCAUUGAGAUCUUGGCCGGAAUUGGUGAUCGGAAAAAGAAGGAUAAAACCCUGGUUUUUACCAAGACAAACUUACCCCUUUAUCAUUUACUACCAUGUGAAAUUACGAUUUUGACCCUA